ACUGUCAGCUGUGUUCAGUGUCAUCUGCCGUGAAGAAUCCCACACCAGUCUCAUGUCCUUUCAUCAUCUCUAAGCUUUGUUACAUCAUUUCUUGAUUGAGCGGAGUAACUUCUAAGCUGAGUGCACGGUGUAAAACAAAGAGUGAGAAACAGCGCAUGGAAAACAUUUCCCCGGAACACAUUUAUUUACUCGCGGGUUCAACAUUUUGUCCCUACACCCGACUGCCGUCCUACUGAUUCUGUUGUUGCAUUUCAAACUGCAAACACCUUUUUCCCCCUCGAUCUUUCCUCGGGAUACUAGACAGAAGGAAACACACGACAGAGCCACACAAACAGCUCCUGAUUCAAAGAACUACCUUUAAACCCCGACUGAACCCCUGUAACCAAACCCCGGGGCAAUGCUACGACUGGGUCUUGCGAUUUUGAUCAUCUGCCUUUUGAGUGCAGAUGUGGAGACAACCAAUGGAACAACAGGAGGUUCAAGCCCGAGCCCCGGACUCUCACCUGGGGUCAUACUUGGCAUUGCCCUCGGCUCCGUCGCGGGGAUUAUAGCAUUCGGUGGAGGUGUCUUGGGGGCUUUGAAGUUUUCUGGAAGACUCUGAGACGAGCUGGUUCCAACCAAUAAUGGUUCAAGAUUAUGUAACCCGUUUUUGUGUCUUUUGGAUCCUUGAAGUAUAUUUAGCUCAAAUAUAACAAAUAUUGAUAAUUUUUUUUUCUAAAAUAAAUGCUAAAAGUGUUGGUUCCUCCAAGUCUCCUAAUAAAACUAUGACCAUCUGUCUUUAUGUCGAGACGACA